GAGGAGAGGAGAGGAGAGGAGAGGAGAGGAGAGGAGAGGAGAGGAGAGGAGAGGAGAGGAGAGGAGAAAUACAGGGGCAGGGGGUGUGUGCCAAACUCCUUCUUUGCUGAGUAGAAAGCUUCUGAAUUUCAAGCAGAAAGUGGAAGGAGCUCCACAGAGCAAUAUCUUGGGCUGCGUGUGCAGAGCGUAGACAAUGAAAAUCUCCGCCCCCUCCCCCAUGCUCUCAAGUCUUCAAGAUUUUUUUCUUUCCUUCACAACGAUGGAAGCUAUGUAAAAAUCAAAUACACAGAGAUGUAUAUACUUUUUUUUUUUUAAAGCACAGACUAACAAACCGAAGGACCUGACCAUGGAUUAUUCAAGGACUCACCUGCUGGGGAGCGCUCUGGGGUCUCCGCACAAAACCUGCUUUUGAGCCCUUUGGCUUUCUUCAGGCGAGCGCAGUCCGUCCAUCCCCCUGGCCCACCCAGCCGCAAGGGAUGCUGUGAAAAGAGCCGCUGCUUGCCGCCUCCGGCCUGCCGUCCAGAGGGCUCCGCCCGUAGAGGUCAACUCCCCUCAUUCUUCUUCUUUCCAUCUUGCCCUCCCUCCGCCGAGCCCAGACUCGGAUCUCCUCCUGACUCCCGCCGCAGUCAGAGAGAGCGCAUCUGCUGCGCUGCCCUUAAAUCUACGCCCAGAGCGGGCUCAGACCCGAUCUCUGCUCUCCAGAGCCGGAGGAAGCCCGAGCAAGCAGCCUUUUCUCUUCGCAGUAAAAUCAUAGCCAGACCAGAUGGGCCCCAGCUCUCCCGGGACUCGGCAGGUGCUGUUGAGUUAAUUUUUCCGCAAUACAAAGAAGGAGGACCCAGCCGGCCUGGGAUUCUGAUCUUUUCCCAAAAUUUCCCAACCAAAAUCGGGCUAUCAAAGGCGUAUACGUGUGUUUGUCGGACAUACAAACAUGCAUGAUUAUAUUCGCUUUUUCUGCUAGAUCUCUGGCAACAGGGGAUGAGUGACAAAGGUUUCUGCAGCAGAACACUCAUGGUGUGGUCCUUAAAGACUUGCCUUUCCUUACAAAUGUCUUAGGACGGCAUUCAGGGCGAACCAACUCAGUUAAUUGCCUUCAGUAAAAUAACACGAUUACGAAAUUAGAUCUGUACCAGAGGGGUAAUUAACUUCGAUCCAUGUCAUCAUUUGAAAACUAGAUUUAUAGACAUAUGUAUGGGUUUUAGGUGCGCUGUAAAUGGCAUGCAGAUGUAUGCAUAAGAAUCGCAGACUCAUGCACCCGC
rnacentral:lncRNA from 1 species